rnacentral:rRNA from 1 species
GACGAACGCUGGCGGCGUGCUUAACACAUGCAAGUCGAACGAAGUGGCGAACGGGUGAGUAACGCGUAAUCAACCUGCCCUUCAGCGGGGGACAACAGGUGGACACGACUGCUAAUACCCAUACUGAAGGAGGGGAUUGCGUGUGAUUCGCUAGUUGGAGGGGUAACGGCCCACCAAGGCGAUGAUCAGGAGACGGUCUGAGAGGAUGAACGGCACAAUUGGGACUGGAAAACUGCCCAGACUCCUACGGGAGGCAGCAGGGGGGAAUCUUCCGCAAUGGACGAAAGUCUGACGGAGCAACGCCGCGGGAGUGAUGACGGCUUUCGGGGUGGAAAGCUCUGUUAAUCGGGACGCGGUACCGUAAUAGAAAGCCACGGCUAACUACGUGCCAGCAGCCGCGGUAAUAC